CCCUUACACGAGCAUUAUUUUUGUCAUUUUUAAUGAUGACUAAGUAAUGAUGUAUUUCAAAUUUGAUAGAAAUCUCGUCAUUACUGCACCAUUACACGUUCAUUAAAAUGAUAUUAUUUUUUAGUAAUGACAUUUUUAAUGACUCGUGUAAGGGCCGCUACUCAGAAGAGAACACAUUGUUUUAUAAAAAUCCCUAUUUACAUAAAUGUGUGUGAAAUGUGCACGCAAAACUAAACAAAUUAAUCUUAUUGCUAGUUCCAGAAUUUUACCAACAUUUCCGAAUUUUGUACUGCAAUUUUUUUAUUUGAAAAAUUAAUCCAUAUGUAUUCAUGUUUACUAUGAUAAUUCGGUUCGUCUGUUGAGUGAAAUUCGACUACUUUUUAGAAAAUAAAUUGAGGUUGAGCUUGAGCGACCACCCCUGGUUGCUAAUCCGUUACUGAUCGGGAUUAGCUGAAAUUGUACAGGGAAUUUGUGGAUGAUCCAACCUGGGACUGGUAAAUCAUCUUUCAAUGUACAUCUUCUUGUAACCCCAGAAUUUAUUGAUCAGUACCGGCGCCGGUCAGGCCCGAACGUAGAUCUUGUAAGGCAUGGGAAGGAAUGUUAGUCCAACACUUGUUGUUACUAGAGGCCGUAUAUACUACUGCGCACUCCACAAGUGUCACGGGAGAAGGAUAUUUGUUAGUAGAAAUUUCAGUAUUGGUUUCGCACGCGACUCAGUAUGUUCCAAUUUCAAGAUGCUCGGAUGCACCACUAAACUCACUGACUUCCCGAGUGAACGUUUCCACAAUAACCUAAAUUAAAGUCAGGGAAGUCCCGAUUCACAGCUCUUAUUGGAGUAAACUGAAGAAAAAUUUGCAAUACUAUCGCGUAAAGAAUAAAAACUUUCCUAUUUUUUUAAAUUAUAAAUUACGUGAUACAAAAUAAACGAGUGAAUAGUUAAUUCUAAACAGUUAUUAUAAAAUCAUUUUAAAUCACCAAAUAAAGGUCAACAUGUUUCGCGCGCGUCUUGUUUCUUUAUUAUUUCCGCUUUAUUAUUUUAAUUAUUUAUUAAAAUUAUUAAUUGGUUGAUCUGGGCAGCCGGCUACCGAGAAAAAUAUUAAUUUAUUGUUUAAAUAUUAAUAUCCAGUGUUUUUUACUAUGUAUUCAAUAUACCGAUAUAUGUUAUCUCUGUCAUUAACUUUGUAAUAUCAACGGAUUUGCGCAAUAGUUGAUUUUUAUCAUUCAAUUUAUAAUACUGAAAGACAAUCAGUAACAUGGAAGAAGAAAACAUUCCAAAUAAACCUUUUCUCCGAAGUUAGACGGAAAUUGAUAGGUUGAAUGAAGAGGUAAUAGUAAGUAAAGUAAUAGUAGGUAAUAGUAAAAUUGAGUAAUCAGAAGUGGAACAUUGAAAAUAUCUGAUAACUGAAAGGAAAAAGAAACUCCUGCAAUUGUCGCCUUUUACGACAUGGAAGCAGAAACCCAGUGGAUCUAUUCUUGGUUCAUUUUUUCAUCCGGAGAGAGCUAAUAGGUACUAUGUUAUCAAUUUCCUAGUGGACCCCAGCCCCUUCGACUACUUUUUAGAAAAUAAAUUUCGAAAUUUCAAAUUUUGACUAAAAGUUUAAACUAUUCACAAAACAGUUCACAGCAAGGGAUAGUAUAUGAACUUUUAAUUCAUAGACUAUAAAAAUGACAAUUUUCUAUUACUUUCUACCUUUCCCUGAGAGAAAAGAUAAUGUGCAGUUAAUUUAAAUUCAAUGUCAUGUACACAAUGAAAAUAAUAUCUCAAUCAAAGUAACUUGUAAUACAUCGUUCAUUUAAUUUUAAUUUUGUUGAUAUAUUCUGUAUAUUAGAAGUGAUCUGCCAAACAUUGCCCUCACAGGCUAUAAGCUUCGUCUUUUCAUUCAUAACAUUCAUGAGCAAAGUUGAAUACUACUUUAUAACUCUUGCAAGUGAAGACGAUAGGUCUAAAAAAGCGUAAUUCAACAUUAUUUAUAAGCGAUAUUUACUUUCGUCUGAAAAAACACACUUAAAUAUAAAAAUGUUAACACCUCGAUAUGGGCAUCAUGCUCAACUAUUUUUGAAAUUUAACUUCUGGGUGCACGCUAAACGCAAACUUUUAAGCAUGACGGAACUAAUAGCCUUUUUCGUCACGAGAUGGUGUUACUGUGAUGUCUUUUUCGAUUUGUAUUGGAUUCGUUAAAGUGAUCCAUAUUGAUAUAUAGUAUAUUUGAUGAAUGCAGUAUAUGCACAGUAUUAGCUGAUAGGUUUAUAUUAUCAUAGAGUACAUUCUUUCUAAUGAAUACCGUUCAAAAUGUGACUUCAUACGAAAAUUAGGAAUAAUUAGCGUGAAAUCGAUCUAUUUUGUGAUUUAAUACCAAACAUCUAGCUGCUCAUAAAGCAGAUGCUCCGACUAAAAAAAAAACAUUUCCACGACCGGCCAAAUCAACACCAAAGGUGCCACCAUCCAAAUCAUCGGCCAAGAGAGCCAAUGCGAAGUCACCAUCAGACAAUGAAGACUUUUACCCAAAACGCCUCCGAAAAGAAUGAAUUCCAUUUUUUCUUUGAAUAAUUGCAGUCUUUAGUUGUAUUUUUUCAUUUUUAGCGAAUUUUCUUGGGGUGCCAGUAACCGAACACCUUUUUUGAAAUGGCCAAAAUUUAUCCCUUUACUAAAUUGACAAUAAAAAUUUUUCAAUCAAAUUAAUCAACUUAGUUUCUCCAUCGACCACUGCUGAUCGCCAGCUGAAAGCUGGACUUGCGAGAACCCGAGAUGACAUAGUCUAAUGAUACUAUUCUACUUUUAAGUUAGUCGUUAAUUAAGAUUAGAAAAUACCCUUGGCAUCUUAGAGCUUAAGCAGUGUGUCUAAAAUUAUAUUACAUUAUUGAAUAAAAAAAACUUAGUUUCUCAAUCAGUUGUUGACUAGGGACUUUAGCUUUACAUUGAUGUAUAUAUGUCCGCAUAAUGUCCACUUAGUCAGAAGUUAUAAGCUUAAAAUAAAAGGGUGCCGGUAACCGAACACUCUCCCCUACUGAUUUCGCGAUACAUAGCGAUGGGAUGAACAAGUAACAUUAUUUCGUUGGUCUGCACACUGACAUCAUUUUGUUGAUGACUAACUAAAAACGAGUAUUUCAGGAAAUGGAAUUUAUCCUAAAAUCAUGAUAAGCACCAUUCCAGUCACCCCAUCUCCUUCGUUCACAGGAAAGGAUAAAUGAUACGGAAUAGAUGUGUCUCACACUUUACGGAAGGACGACGACUCGUAGGACUCUUCCGUGGAGUUAAAGAAUUGGCAGGAUACAAAAUGCGCAGCAAGCGAUGCGGUCAGCUGUUUCUUUAAAUUUAGAGUACACGGAUAUUCGAAGAAAAGCAUGCAAUAUCAGUUUUUGAGUAUUUACUUCUAGACCGAUGACUGUCGAGAGCGAUGUCCAGCCAGCGAAUAGACAGCAACUAAAUACACUCUCCUACUCAGUGUUUGACCAAAAAAAUAGGUAGAUUAUAGAACGAGAAGACUAGUGUUUGAUGGACAGAGAAGAUGUUUGGAUAUAUGGUAUCGGUCGGGUGACGGCCAGGAUGUAGACCAUGUUCGAUGUACGUUCUAUCAUGUCUGACUGCGUUUUAGAGUGUCUAUAACAAGGUUCAGAGUAGCGAAAUGGUAGCGCGUAUGCACGGAACACAGAUAAAAAUAUUUUGUGAAAUUACAUUUAUUUUCAUGCACAUAUUUGGAGCAGGUAAUUAAACAUAAAAUUACUUUACAAUUCUGUACAUUUCAAUACAAUUUAUUCGCAAAAUAAGCGUUAAUUGAAAGAUACAGUUAUAUUCAUUGAAAAUUCAAUGCAAUUCAAUUUAGUUUUGCAUCGAUGAAGGUUUUCAAUCAAAAUUUCGAUUCAACCCAUGUCUAUUCCAUGUUACUAUUGAUUUACAUCUCGUGUAAAUUUCAUUAUUUCUUUCUGUGAAUGCAUAAGAAGAACGAAAAUUCAAGUCCUGUCUCUGAGCGUAUCUUUUUCCAAAAAAAUAAUCUUUUCUGUCAGUUUUUCAUUCAUUUGGUUUCUCCAAUAUAUGUUUCCGCUCAGUCAUUGCAAAACUAAAUAAAAUGUUUCUAUUUUCGAAUAAACUCAGACAGGAGUUAAGUUAUUUUUGUAGUUUAAUAUUUGUAGGCAUGACGCUGUCAGUAUGAUUUUCGAUUUUACCCAUUUACUAAGACUAUAAAUCAAGUAACCCUAGAUUUCUUACUGUGCGAUGACCAAUGCAGUAAAACCAAAUACAAAUUAUAAUACGGAAUACUUCGACAAAUUUUCAAGGACACAUUUUGCAUCGUGCGGUACACUGUCAUGAUACACUGUCAGAGUGACAAUGUACUUUAACGAGUUUUCUAUAAAACUAGCAACACUGAAGGGUAUGAACAAGUUCACCAUAGUUACUGUUUAUUAUGCAAAAUGCAAAAAAGUAACGUUCCUUACCCUAGACAGCAUAUUGAUACUAUUUUCAAUAUUAUAAAGUGUCUGGACUGAGACAAAUUGAAUGGAGUGGAGUUCAUGUUACAUGCAACAAUUUUACACUUCUUAUUGAACCAAAGAUUUGGUCCAUGGAUUUCUGAUUACGGUUGGAUUCAAACUGGCUAAAUGUUUCUUAAGAAAAUCUGUUUUUUCAGUUCGCACGAAAAAUCGUAUCGCAACGUACUGCAUCCGAAAGGAUUCAGUAUUAUCAACUAUGAUGCACCGGUCAUCAACGAAUAUUACACAUCAUCUCUACGAUGGACUAUAGGAUGUGACCAUCUCGUCGGCGUUGUGAAAAGCCACAGCAAGCAAUCAAGUCUAGAUUCAGGUUCAAAUCCCCGUGGGAUGAGCUGAAGAAAUUCCAGUGGAAUGUGCUGGCUAAUGGUUCUUUGAAAUUGGAAUACUGUAAUAAUCGCACCGAAUAUUUAAUGUAUCUGAUAACUAUGUUGUUAAGCGUGAUUGUAGAUCGUUGGCCCAAGGAUUGAGAAAUAUUGGACAAAAACAAUUGCGGAAUAAAUAAGCAUCUCUUUAGUUAUAUUAAAUGUUAUGAAUAUAUUUCGACACACAGAAAAAGUGCAUUUAGCAUCCCAUCUAGAAUUGGGACCGGAAACUUUUCGGUACUUACAUAAUACACAUAAUGCUAAGUACCAAAACCUCAAAUAAAAACGAUAAAUUUGUGCAAACUCUGAUUUUCCAAUUCUUUUAUAUUAACCGAUUCUGCAUAUACUAAUUUGCUUGGAUUUCAGUCCUCACAUUUAUGAUCAUCUGAAUUCAGAUUUUCAGGAUCACUAAUUUAAAUCCUAACAAACGUCUCCGAUUGUUUACUUCCAGUAAUUCCAUAAUUCAGUCGGUUUCAUAAUUUUAUUCAUUAACGAA